rnacentral:snRNA from 1 species
AGGAGGUUAACUCUCUCCCA